GACGGAGGGUGCAAGCGUUGUUCGGAUUGACUGGGCGUAAAGGGCGUGUAGGCGGUUCGUUAAGUCGGGUGUGAAAGCCCGGGGCUCAGCUCCGGAAGUGCGCCCGAAACUGGCGAGCUGGAGCGCGGUAGAGGAGGGUGGAAUUCCUGGUGUAGCGGUGAAAUGCGUAGAUAUCAGGAGGAACACCGGCGGCGAAGGCGGCCCUCUGGACCGUUGCUGACGCUGAGACGCGAAAGCGUGGGGAGCAAACAGGAUUAGAUACCCUGGUAGUCCACGCUGUAAACGAUGGGUACUAGGUGUUCGGGGUGUUGACCCCCUGAGUGCCGACGCUAACGCAUUAAGUACCCCGCCUGGGGACUACGGCCGCAAGGUUAAA
rnacentral:rRNA from 1 species